rnacentral:rRNA from 1 species
GACGAACGCUGGCGGCGUGCUUAACACAUGCAAGUCGAACGGAAAGGCCCUGCUUUUGUGGGGUGCUCGAGUGGCGAACGGGUGAGUAACACGUGAGUAACCUGCCCUUGACUUUGGGAUAACUUCAGGAAACUGGGGCUAAUACCGGAUAGGAGCUCCUGCUGCAUUGUGGGGGUUGGAAAGUUUCGGCGGUUGGGGGUGGACUCGCGGCUUAUCAGCUUGUUGGUGGGGUAGUGGCUUACCAAGGCUUUGACGGGUAGCCGGCCUGCGAGGGUGACCGGCCACAUUGGGACGGAGAUACGGCACAGACUACUACGGGAGGCAGCAGUGGGGAAUAGUGCACAAGGGGCGGAAGCCUGAUGCAGCAACGCCGCGUGCGGGAUGACGGCCUUCGGGUUGUAAACCGCUUUCGCCUGGGACGAAGCGUGAGUGACGGUAAUGGGUAAAGAAGCACCGGCUAACUACGUG